GGGCACGUGGCGGAACAGGCAGACGCGACGGACUUAAAAUCCGUUGGCCGAAAGGCCAUGUGGGUUCGCCCCCCGCCGUGCCCA
rnacentral:tRNA from 1 species